rnacentral:rRNA from 1 species
CCCAGACUCCUACGGGAGGCAGCAGUGGGGAAUAUUGCACAAUGGGGGGAACCCUGAUGCAGCGACGCCGCGUGGGUGAAGGAGUACUUCGGUACGUAAAGCCCUAUCAGCAGGAAAGAAAAUGACGGUACCUGACUAAGAAGCCCCGGCUAACUACGUGCCAGCAGCCGCGGUAAUACGUAGGGGGCAAGCGUUAUCCGGAUUUACUGGGUGUAAAGGGAGCGUAGACGGCAGUGCAAGUCCGGAGUGAAGGCCCGGGGCUCAACCCUGGGACUGCUCUGGAAACUGUAAAGCUGGAGUGCGGGAGGGGCAGGCGGAAUUCCUGGUGUAGCGGUGAAAUGCGUAGAUAUCAGGAGGAACACCGGCGGCGAAGGCGGCCUGCUGGACCGUAACUGACGUUGAGGCUCGAAAGCGUGGGGAGCAAACAGGAUUAGAUACCCUCGUAAC